rnacentral:lncRNA from 1 species
UGGGCCCAUAAGAGAACAUUGUGUGUGUAUGUGUGUGUGUGUGUGUGUGUGUGUGUGUGUGUGUGUGCACGUGCACGCACGUAUGUGUUGGGGGCUGUGUAGCUUCUCCUAACUUCACCAUGCAGAAGUCAAGGAAACGGUUACAGAGGCAAAAUGUGGGAGUAGCUAAUGGCAAUGGCCCAGAGAGAUGAAAAAAUGUGAGAAAACCAAAGCUUGGAGCUCACUCUUCAAUUCUUUCCCGAGCAAAACCAAGAAUCUUCUUGGGCUAAGCCCCAAUUUGGGGUUCACCUGCCUUGCAGCAACAUGGCACCAAACAUGCGGCAGAAGAGAGAAAACGACAGCAUGAGAGACGGAGAAAGAAAUGGCCAGUUGGCAAGGUGGUAAUGAGAGACAGCAGUUGGCAAGACAGUGAGAGACAGCAAGAGAUGGCAAGUGACAGUUAUUGUUAAGAUGACAAAUGGAGAGAUGGCAAGAAAUAGAGAAGCAGUCAGUGAUGGAGGCUGCAAGAGUUGUAACACUAACCAAAGGCUCUUUUUAGAAUCAUCGUUUUCCCUGGCAGGUGGUACAGCCAAGCAGACAGGCAAGUAAGUGGCCAUACUGCUACUGCCUCAUGUAGGAUCCGGCAGGCUGGUGGGUUAUCAGUCCUCACGUGGGACCCUCCCACCAUGGCAGCUGAGCACAUCCAAGCUGGGGGAUCCUGAAGAGACCUUCACCUGGGUGCCACGUGGAAGAUUGGCCAGCACCAUUUUGACUCCUGUGGAUGGUUCCAGGUAAAGACAAUCCUUGCACAAGGCUUCCAACUCGACCCGCCUACUGACCUGGAGAAUGAAAGUGUCCUGCCUCGGGGCCCCUCAGAUCAGCACCCAAACUGCACCUGGUCACCUGUCUACAUUCAGAUUUAGAUGAAAGCCACACCAUGGAGGCAGCCAGAGGCCCAUGGGAGAUGUCUGGAUUCGCAGAGGAAUAGCUCCAUGUGAUGCAAACCUUGACUAAUGGGAACAGGAAAAGGGAGGAAACCAGGAAGAUAAAUCUCCCUCCCUUCUCAUUGCUCCUUGCAACCCUUCCCACUUGAAGCAUGACCACAUUUAAUGAACAACCUGCUGUGUCUCUUGGAAGCUUGCUGCAAGGCAGCAAUCAGCACAAUAACAUUGUAUUGUAUCUUCCUCUGCUUCACUUCUCUUCCUCCCUCACCCUCACUGCCCUGAGCUGGCACAUCCCAAAGAAAGCAUUACCACAUUAAUCCUUGUCUCAGACUCUGCUUUCAAGAGGAUCUAGGUGAAGGAAAUUCCUAUUACUCCACCUCUUCAUCACCUCUUCAAAUGUCAGACUUUAAAAAUGGUGUCAUUUUGUUGAGUGUAUCUCAUUGUGGUUUUAAUUUGCAUUUUCCUGAUUAUGAAUGGGGUUGGCUAACUUUUCCUAUGUUUAUUGGAUUUCUUCAUUUUUGAAGUGCUUGUUUAAGUUUUCUACUAAUUUUUCUAUUGGGUUGUCUUUUUUUUUUCUUUCUUUCUUUUUAAGACAGAAUCUUGCUCUGUUGCCCUGGCUAGAGUGCAGUGAUGUAAUAAUAGCUCACUGAAACCUCGAACUCCUGGGCUCAAGCAAUUAUCCCAUCUCGGCCUCCCAAGUAGCUGGAACUACAGGUGUGCACCACUACCACCAUGC